GUAUAUGAAAGUAUGCACUGGCUAUUCGAGGCAUGUCUCCUGAUGUCUCCCAAAGAAUGCACUCCUCUGGCCUAUGCCUGAUUACUCCGCAGAAAUUCCCGUGGUUUCUGCCGUCUCAGCAACUUCUGUCACAGAGAUUCUGGAAAUACUCUACUGAAAACGUUCGUGGAUAUAUCACCUCCUGGUAAUAAGAAAAUAUGCAGAAAAGAACACAGCAGGCCAGAGAUUGCUAUCCUGAGGAAGGCCUCCUUACAAGGUUGGCCCAGCUGGCAUUCCAGAACUUGGAUUUGGGAGUGUUUCCACCAUUUCCUGGUAAGAAUGGCAAGAAUAAAAGUUUACAAGACUUAACCUCUGCAACCUGGCCACCCAGAGAAGGCAUUGGCGCCCUACAAAGUUCUGUGGAAAUCAGCUAUCAUCCAAUGCUUUAG
rnacentral:lncRNA from 1 species